rnacentral:rRNA from 1 species
UUACUCCUACGGGGCGCAGCAGUGGGGAAUAUUGCACAAUGGGGGGAACCCUGAUGCAGCGACGCCGCGUGAGAGAAGAAGUAUUUCGGUAUGUAAAGCUCUAUCAGCAGGGAAGAAAAUGACGGUACCUGACUAAGAAGCCCCGGCUAACUACGUGCAAGCAGCCGCGGUAAUACGUAGGGGGCAAGCGUUAUCCGGAUUUACUGGGUGUAAAGGGAGCGUAAACGGCAGAGCAAGUCUGAAGUGAAAGCCAGCGGCCC